rnacentral:tRNA from 1 species
AGUCUUGUGGUCUAGUGGUUAUGACGUUUGACUUUGAAUCAAAAAGUUGUGAGUUCGACCCUCACCAAGACUU